rnacentral:lncRNA from 1 species
CUGGUGGCCUCUUUCUAUAAUUGGCUUAUUAUUGAUCCAGGCUUACUUCAUACAACUGUUAUUGUUGAUAAACAUGAGGAGAAUCUUUGGAAAACCAUAGUAAUCAUUCACAUUUAAAUAGCUAUGGUAGGUUGUUGCUAAAUUUACCUGAAGAAGUUUUCAGAUGACCUCGAGUAUGACUUUAUGACAUAGGCAAUUAAUAUUUUGCUUUACUACAGCAAUUCCUUGCUAGAAAUUGUGCUUAAGUUUCAGGAUUUCAUAUUAGGACAGCACUUGCAAU